AACGAACGCUGGCGGCAUGCCUAACACAUGCAAGUCGAACGAGACCUUCGGGUCUAGUGGCGCACGGGUGCGUAACGCGUGGGAACCUGCCUUUAGGUUCGGAAUAACUCAGAGAAAUUUGAGCUAAUACCGGAUAAUGUCUUCGGACCAAAGAUUUAUCGCCUUUAGAUGGGCCCGCGUUGGAUUAGCUAGUUGGUGGGGUAAAGGCCUACCAAGGCGACGAUCCAUAGCUGGUCUGAGAGGAUGAUCAGCCACACUGGGACUGAGACACGGCCCAGACUCCUACGGGAGGCAGCAGUGGGGAAUAUUGGACAAUGGGCGAAAGCCUGAUCCAGCAAUGCCGCGUGAGUGAUGAAGGCCUUAGGGUUGUAAAGCU
rnacentral:rRNA from 1 species